rnacentral:rRNA from 1 species
GAUAAACGCUGGCGGCGUGCCUUACGCAUGCAAGUCGAACGCACCUUCGGGUGAGUGGCGGACGGGUGAGUAACACGUACGUGAUCUGUCCCAAACUGGGGGAUAACCGCCCGAAAGGGUGGCUAAUACCGCAUGUGGUCCCCGGUUUGCGAGCCGGGGAGUAAAGUUCCGGCGGUUUGGGAGGAGCGUGCGGCCGAUUAGCUAGUUGGUGGGGUAACAGCCUACCAAGGCGACGAUCGGUAGCUGGUCUGAGAGGACGGCCAGCCACACGGGGACUGAGACACGGCCCCGACUCCUACGGGAGGCAGCAGCGAGGAAUCUUGGUCAAUGGGCGCAAGCCUGAACCAGCGACGCCGCGUGGAGGAUGAAGGCCCUCGGGUCGUAAACUCCUUUUGUGUGGGAAGAAGCUCUGACGGUACCAC